rnacentral:rRNA from 1 species
UACGAAGGGGGCUAGCGUUGUUCGGAAUUACUGGGCGUAAAGCGCACGCAGGCGGCUCGAUAAAUUCGAAGUGAAAGCCCCGGGCUUAACCUGGGAAUUGCUUUUAAGACUGUCGGGCUAGAAUCCAGAAGAGGGUAGUGGAAUUCCGAGUGUAGAGGUGAAAUUCGUAGAUAUUCGGAAGAACACCAGUGGCGAAGGCGACUACCUGGUCUGGCAUUGACGCUCAUGUGCGAAAGCGUGGGGAGCAAACAGG